rnacentral:rRNA from 1 species
GAUGAACGCUGGCGGCGUGCCUAAUACAUGCAAGUCGAGCGAACGGACGAGAAGCUUGCUUCUCUGAUGUUAGCGGCGGACGGGUGAGUAACACGUGGAUAACCUACCUAUAAGACUGGGAUAACUUCGGGAAACCGGAGCUAAUACCGGAUAAUAUUUUGAACCGCAUGGUUCAAAAGUGAAAGACGGUCUUGCUGUCACUUAUAGAUGGAUCCGCGCUGCAUUAGCUAGUUGGUAAGGUAACGGCUUACCAAGGCAACGAUGCAUAGCCGACCUGAGAGGGUGAUCGGCCACACUGGAACUGAGACACGGUCCAGACUCCUACGGGAGGCAGCAGUAGGGAAUCUUCCGCAAUGGGCGAAAGCCUGACGGAGCGACGCCGCGUGAGUGAUGACGGUCUUCGGAUCGUAAAACUCUGUUAUUAGGGAAGAACAUAUGUGUAAGUAACUGUGCACAUCUUGACGGUACCUAAUCAGAAAGCCACGGCUAACUACGUG